CCUACGGGCGGCUGCAGUGGGGAAUAUUGCACAAUGGGCGCAAGCCUGAUGCAGCCAUGCCGCGUGUGUGAAGAAGGCCUUCGGGUUGUAAAGCACUUUCAGCGGGGAGGAAGGCGGUGAGGUUAAUAACCUCAUCGAUUGACGUUACCCGCAGAAGAAGCACCGGCUAACUCCGUGCCAGCAGCCGCGGUAAUACGGGGGGUGCAAGCGUUAAUCGGAAUUACUGGGCGUAAAGCGCACGCAGGCGGUCUGUCAAGUCGGAUGUGAAAUCCCCGGGCUCAACCUGGGAACUGCAUUCGAAACUGGCAGGCUAGAGUCUUGUAGAGGGGGGUAGAAUUCCAGGUGUAGCGGUGAAAUGCGUAGAGAUCUGGAGGAAUACCGGUGGCGAAGGCGGCCCCCUGGACAAAGACUGACGCUCAGGUGCGAAAGCGUGGGGAGCAAACAGGAUUAGAUACCCAAGUAGUC
rnacentral:rRNA from 1 species